UACGUAGGGGGCAAGCGUUGUCCGGAAUUAUUGGGCGUAAAGAGCUCGUAGGCGGUGUGUCACGUCGGCCCGUGAAAACCUGCAGCUUAACUGUGGGCGUGCGGUGGAUACUGCCGGGCUAGAGGGUGGUAGAGGCGAGUGGAAUUCCCGGUGUAGCGGUGAAAUGCGCAGAUAUCGGGAAGGAACACCAGUAGCGAAGGCGGCUGCUGGC
rnacentral:rRNA from 1 species